GGUAAUAUGUCUUGCAAGUCUAUUUGGGAUCAGCGAUAAUGAUUUUACGUUGUAUAUUUCAUUUUAAGAUAUAUAUAUAUAUGAAUUAUUACAACGUGAAGCAAUGCUUAACAUCUCAAUUAUACAUUUAUGGAUGUUAUAUUUGAAUCGUAAAAUUGAAGAACUCAAUCAUGGUGACUUGUAUGGAUUUCUUGAGCCCCAAUCAAUUCAAAAAUCGGGGAAUAAAAAAGCGGAGUCUCAAAAUUAUAUCAUUGAAAAGAUACGAAAUUCACCAAAGCAAAUUUACUUUGCUCCUUAUGUUGAUCAGUCAGUGCAUCUUUGUGAAGUCCAUUUAAUUUGUGUAUUUAUGUAUCUAUUGUAUAACUAAUUGUGCCUAAAUGUAGAAAUCAUUGACAGUUAUUGGUUCUCUGUCCUGCAAAGAAUGUUGUUGUUUGGUUUUGUUCUUUGCAUCGUAAGCCAAAUGUUAAAAUAAAAAAUUUAAUUAAAAGGUAAAAUUUAGUUUGUAACGGGUAUUUAUUUUAUGCUCUCUGUUAUAAAUUUUAACGAUGUAACUUACAUUCAUUUAUUUUGUUUAGUGUUAUGGUUGUCUAUAAUGUCAUGGCAGGUAGAUCUACAGCACAACCAAAGAACCUAGAUUGGAUUUAUCCCAUGAAUAAUCGACAACAAGGAGGUUACAGAUGUGGAUAUUAUGUGAUGAAUUGGAUGUUAGAGAUAAUUGAAGGGGAAGUAAUAAAUGAUUGGAUUGAGCUUUUUGAUGAUGUUGCACUAUUGUCGGAAACCAAGUUGGAAGACAUUCGGAGUCAAUGGGCAACCUUCUUUUUAAAAAAAUUUAGAAAUAAAGCAUGAUUUUUAGUUUAAUUAGGAUUGUCUACAAUAUAUCUCAAAAACAAUUUUUUGCCUUUAUAUUUUAGUUUAUUUUUUUAUCCAAAAAUAAAAUAAACUAAGUAGUUAAAGCUUGGUUAUCAUGUUUUGGUUAUUAAUUCAUCAGUGAAGAAGAUUCAAUUGUUCAUAUUUCAUCUUGUUGAAAUUACUAUGUAUUUAACUAUACAUGCUGAUUUAAGGAACAUGGGUUGGAAACGGAAUAGAGAUAAUUAACGUACUUGGGUUCA